CUGGUAUGCAGCUCUUAUUUUUCUGGAUCCGUGUGUGCAACACAGUAUGUGCCGGAGGGACCAUCCACAGAACACAGGUUGUGCUUCGUGGAUUGUCCAGCUGCAUGCUGCAUUUCAUUAGCUGCGCUCUGCUCUGUCUCCCUUGAUCAGUUGCCUGACAGCAGGCCAUGAAGAUGUGUAGAGAGUACUCCAAGAUUUUACUUUAGUCUGCAUCUCAAACCUCAAACAAAGGGGAGAAGGAGCCCACUGAUUCUCAACCUGGGUGAUGUCCGAUUCUUUGAAGGGUGUUGCAUGGUUUAAGGAAAUAAGCACAGGCUUAGGCUUACCCCCGCCCCACUGCCUGGCUCCUCUGGAAGGAGUGUCAUCCACAGAUUUGAACAAGGUGCUUUUUCAAAUUUGUCCAAGUUGCUGAUGAAGAUGUUGAACAGUGAGGGACUGAGGACCAAGCCCUGGGGAACCCCACUGCCCACAUCCCUCCAGGUCGAAAACAACACACCCACCACCACUCUCUGGGGUGAGAGAGUGUCGAAGGCCUUCCUAAAGUCCAGAAAGACUACAUCCACUGCGACACCUGCAUCCAAGGAUUUUGUGACCUGGUCAUAGAAGGCAACCAGGUUGGUCUGACAGGACCUGCGUCUAAUGAAACUGUGUUGGUUGCUCAUAAGCAUAAUCUCCCCUGCUGGUCCCUCACAGAUGUGCUCCUGGAUAAUUUUCUCAAAGAGCUUCCCCAGGACCGAGGGAGAAAGCAACCCUUCCUCAGUCAUCCAGGGCAGGCAUCAAGACAUGAGGAAGAAGAAAGUUCAUUACCUUGACUUUCUGUCCAUCUAGAAGACAUCUUUGAAAGUUUUUCAUCCCUUAUCCAGGAUUACACUUUUUUCAUAACCCCAAAUUCUUCAUGGGAAGAACUUUUCAUUUUUGGUCAACUGUAGAGCAAAACACUUACAAAUAUGGCUCCAGUGAUGUAAGGACUUAAAGUUCAUAUAUGCUGCAAAAUACGUUACACAAAACCCAAAACUGAGCUGAAACUCUUUAUUGAAAUAAAAAUUAAUCUGCAGUCUUACUCUUACUGCAUUAUUUUCCUUCAGGCUUUACUUUAAAAUGAACCUCUUGAAAAUAGCAACUUGUUGGGAAAUAUUUAAAGCGACAUGAGAAUCCAGGAACAAGAUUUAGGAGGCAGCUCAAGUCUCUCAGUGCAUGACUCUGAAAAGCUAUAGGAAAUCGUAAAAGGGCUUAGUGUACUCUACAAUAUUCAAAACAAAUCCUGAGCAUACAAAGGCGACUGAAAGGGCAUUGAAACCACAAAUAGCAUAAAGACAUAGUUGAAAAGCAUAAGAUUGAAUAAAUAACUUAACUACAUUAAAAUGGUGGAAAAAAGUUUGUGAAAUAUAAAACUUUUCUCUCUAACUUGGUUAAAGCUUGCCAUUUGUCUUGUUGGGUUCCAUGUAGGCUGGUGCGAGUUGGCAGCAAUCCAAUCCGGCUUCGGAUCUGGCUGCUUUGGAUGGCCAUGAUCUGAUCCGGAGCUCUGGAUCGGUUUGCUGCUUUGAUCCGCCCAAAGCGGCUCCGAAGCUUCAGAGCAGCCUUGGAGAUCCGGCUAUAGGUAAUAAUGGGGGAUGAAUUAAAUAUUUAUAACUUUGUUAUUUUAGCUCCAAUUUGGGCACAACUUGCAGAGAUGGUAGCCUCUGCUGAGGGCAUGAAGCCUGCCAAGUUUCAAGAAGACCAGUGCAGGGGUUUGGAAGGAACUGCACCCCAAAUUCUUGAAAGCAAAACUCCUCUCACAUCUACAUGUUAUACCACAGGGGGCUGAAAACUGCAGGGAUGGUAGCCUCUGGUGAGGCCACAAAACCUGCCAAGUUUCAGGAAGUUUGGUGCAGAGGCUUGGGGGGUAACUGCCCCCAAGCUGCUGACAGGCAAAACUCAUCAUGUGGGUGGGUGCUUGGGCGACUGCGUCUGUCUUGGGUCACAGCGGGGUUAAAUCUAGUGCAGGCCUGAGUGCUGGGCCCUGCCAGGCCAUGAAUCCUGCCAGCUGUGUGUCUCUCGCUGGGGGAGUCUAUCGUCUGGGGCCCUGCACCCCAAGCUGCUGACAGGCAAAACUCAAGAUUUCAUAGAUUUAAUAGAUUUCAUAGACAUUAGGGCUGGAAGGGACCUUGGAAGAUCAUCGAGUCCAGCCCCCUGCCUGAAGGGCAGGAAGUCAGCUGGAGUCAUAGGAUCCCAGCAAGAUAAGCAUCCAGUGAUAUGGGUGGGUGACAUUGUGUGUGUGUUAAGGUGCACCCUUCCUGGUGCUGGGGCCUCUGCACAACAUGGCAGUGUGCCCCAGUGAGGUCUCCUCCUCCCCUACAGCCUCAUGCCCAGUCCUCUGCUUUACGUGACAACAGGUAAAAUAACUUAGGUGGCUCAACACCAGUAACUUCAGCAGCAGCAUCAAAGGUACCCAAACAGAACUGUCAUAGAGCCUCUCUUUUUAUAAAGGAAUUGACAGCAAGAAGUAACGAUGUUGUGUUGUGUUGUGUUGGACAUAUGAUGUUAUUCAUAGUGUGUGAUGGCUUAUCUUGCAUUUUUAUGUCUAUGUGUAUAUUAUGAAAAAAAAAGGAGUACUUAAAAAAAUGUAUCUUUGGAAGCUUUAGGGUUGAAAACCCCUUUGUCAGGAUAAGGAAGCACCUGCAGUUGGUCCUGGAUGGAAGGAAUAGUAAAGAAGCCAGAGGCUGGCCUGGCCCGCAAUGCAGGCAAGAAAGCCAGUCAGUGAAAAGGGAAAUGGAGGUAGGAUCCAAGCAGGUGCAGUGGAGUGUGACAACAUCCCCAGCAAUGCUGAACACCCUCUCGCUUGGAACACUUGUUGGUGGACAGGACAGGUGUUGCCAGGCAACCAUGGCCAGAUCCUGCCACAGCUGCCUGCGGUUUGCCCAGUAAGCCAAGGGGUUGCAGUCCAGUGGCUCCACAUCCUCAGCAACAUAGGUAGCCACCGAAGCCUCAGUGCUACCUGCCUGAGGCUGAGGUCUGGUGCAUUUGGAUCCUAGCAUUGAAGCCAUGCCCAUGGCCCACGUAGGCAGUGGCUGGUGUGGAGGAGACUGGCUGGCGCUGGUGCUGGGAGUGCUGGCACGGGAAAGUGGAUCCCCCUCUUCCACAUCCCCUUGCCUCUGCACUUUGGCCUCCCUGACUUUGUUCACCAACACCUGUGUCCAGUGAUCAAGGGUUUUGGGGCUGCCAGUGCACCUGCUCCCCUUCACCCUCGGGUCACACAUGUCCGCCAUCAUGUGGGCCGUACUGGACCACAAGGGAUCCAGCUGUCUCCUGAUGCCCUCCUUCAGCCACCUCACCAGUGCCUGCACAUCUGGUGACAGCGGCCUACCUGAGCCAGGAACAUUGAUCCCCUCGAACUUCUCCAUUUGGUUCUCCAGUUCCCUCACUAGGGGGAUCACCUGGCUGAGGAGGGCAUUGCCAGUGCUAAGGGUCUCGGGGGCCUCGAGGAAGGGCUUGAAGACUAGCAAGAUCUAGGAGAUGGUACCCCACUCAGCUCUGUUCAAGGGGGCACUGAUCCCAAUCUCCCCAAGCAAGGCCAUCUCAUGGAUGGCCUUCUGUUGCUCCACCAGCCUCUCGAGCAUCAGGUAUGUGGAGUUCCUCUGAGUCUCCACAUCCUGUAAGAUUCUGUGCUGCAGGAUGCUCAGCUCUGCCUGUUUCUCCUGCAGCAUCUUGUUCCCCUUGAUGCUGCAGGGGAAGUAGCUGACCACCUUCUUGCAUUUUGAAAUUAGCUGGCUUGUAGCAGUACUGGUGGUGGUGCCAUCACAGGCAGCCCUGUCCCCCUCCAAGGUAUUCAUCACUAUUAGGUGCAGCCUGUGUGCCACACAGAGGAUGCCAACAAAGCUGGCAUCACGGACAGCCUUCACCAUAUUGGCCCCAUUGUUGGUGACCAUGAACCCACGGGUGAGCUUGGCCUUCCCAACGAGCCACCCCUGCACCAUGCGGUUCAUGGUCCCCAUGAUUUCCCUUGCUGUGUGGGACUCAUCCAGCACCUCGGCUUGCAGUAGAGCCCACUGAUGGCCUGACUGAGCACACCAGUGCCCCGUGAGGUAGAGGUAGGUGUGAUCACCACCCCAGCUGCUCCAUAUGUCGGAGGUGAAGUGCAAAGUUACCUGCAGCCCUGCCUUGUGCAGCUUCUCUCUCAAGUACUCCCUGCAUGCCUCAUACAGGGAGGGCACCACUGCCCUGCUAAAGGUAGUGCGUGCGGGCACUUUGUAAAAUGGGGCCAGAAGUGCUAUGGAGCUCCUGAACCCUGGUCGCUCAACUAGGGAGAAGGACUGGCUAUCCAGAGCAAGUGUCUCCCCAAUGCUCUGGGUGAUCUCGCUUGCCUUGGGAACAUGCCCCCCUUUCUGUCCACCUUUCCCUCACUGGUCCAGGGUGGCCUUCCUCUGCCUUAGGGGUAAGGGAGCUUUGGAGCGAGCGGGGGACUUCCCUUUCGGCACACUCGCACUGGUGCCACGCUGAGCAGCAGGAAGAAGGGCAAGGGGGUGGUGCCUCCUCAGAUGCAGCAGCAUGGCCGUGGUGGAGAAGUGUCUGACGUCCUUGCCAUGGCUCAUGUGCCUUUGGCAGUACUGGAAGAUGGCAAACCUGGAAUCAUCUGCCACCUCAAAAUGAUCCCACGCUGCAUUACUCCCCCGCUUCUGGGUUGAGGGUGAGGAUCCUGCCUUUUCUCCCUUCUCAGCAGGCUGAGGCUGAACAGCAAGAGGAGCUGCCUCAGCUGAGCCACUUGCCUCCACAUCCUCAGCCUCCUCUGAGGUGCUGCUUUCCAGAAGAGACCGGGGUCUAAGAGAAACUUGAGGGGUUUGGAGCGCAAACUCUGAUUUCCCCUCAGUCCCCAGAAUUGCUUGAGCCAGUGUGCUCAGCAUCCCUGGUUCCAGCUCCAGCUCCUCCUCUGGCAGUGGGAGGCUCAUGCUGAGAGCUGAAAUUAGGGUGGAAGAGGCAGUAAUUCCACUGCUGGUGCCCACUUCUGGACUGAGCAGAAGUGGUGCAGGUACAGGGAUGUCAGAUGCAGACACUGUGUCCACCACCUGGCUUCCACUGGCAGCACUGAUGUCAUGGCUGCUCGGGAACAGAAUGCAUCUGUAUUUGGGGGGGUGGCUUGCAGCUGUAGCUCUCCCCCUACCCCCUCUCCCUCCCCUGCCAAAAGACCUGGCACCUGCCUUUCCAGCACACUUCAUAUUGAUCUUUCCUGUGCUGCAAAAGGUCUCUCUAUGUGUGUGAAUCCUUUUGUAUUGUGCAUUUUAUUCCCUCUGUUGCGUGCAUGCACUGACCUCUUCUUUGAAUGUUUGCUUCAGUGUUAAGGGUUAUGUAAAAAUUGUGUGCUGUCUUGUUCUUCUGUGAAUAUCUGUCUUCUUCUGCUCUGAAUAUCUGUGUCUUGUUCUGCUGUGAAUACGUGUUUGUCUUGUUCUGCUGUGAAUAUCUGUCUGUCUUCUGCUGUGAAUAUCUGUGUCUUCUGUGAAUAUCUGUCUGUCUUCUUCUGCUAUGAUUUUUUUUCUAUAUUGUGAGUCUCUGUAUAUGUGUGUGUGCGCGUGUGCAAGCAAUCUGUGCCUCCCUGCACAGUGAUAGAUCACAAUGGCUGGGAAAACACACCUUUCUUUUUGCAAAGUUUCCAAAAAAAAGAGCAAAAAUAAAUUCAAAGAAAUAAAUUGAAUUGUAAUACUAAUAAUAAUUGAAUAGACUAGCUAAGCUAAGCUAAAUCCUACCCACUCCUUUGUAACAAGAAAAAAGAGCAGGCAAGUCUCAGUCUGAGCGUUCCUCUCUCACACUGUUGCUGACAGGGAAUGAGCUGCAAAAGGCACAGAAAGGCUGCAAACAGAGGCUUUUCUGCUGUUUCUAGUCCUACCCCACAGAU